rnacentral:rRNA from 1 species
UUCCGGUUGAUCCCGCCGGAGGCCAUUGCUAUCAGGGUUUGACUAAGCCAUGCGAGUCGAGAGGUGUAAGACCUCGGCAUACUGCUCAGUAACACGUGGUUAACCUGCCCUAAGGUGGAGAAUACUCCCGGGAAACUGGGGCUAAUGCUCCAUAGUGGAUAUGUCCUGGAAUGGUAUAUCCUCGAAAGAUCCGUCGCCUUAGGAUGGGACUGCGUCCGAUUAGGUUGUUGGCGGGGUAACGGCCCACCAAGCCAUUGAUCGGUACGGGUUGUGGGAGCAAGAUCCCGGAGAUGGAUUCUGAGACAUGAAUCCAGGCCCUACGGGGCGCAGCAGGCGCGCAAACUUUACAAUGCGAGCAAUCGUGAUAAGGAAACCCUGAGUGCCUGUCGAUGCAGGCUGUUCAUAUAUCUAAAUCAUAUGUGAAGAAAGGGCAGGGCAAGACCGGUGCCAGCCGCCGCGGUAAUACCGGCUGCUCGAGUGAUGGCCACUAUUACUGGGUUUAAAGCGUCCGUAGCUUGACUGUUAGGUCUCUUGGGAAAUCUUCACGCUCAACGUGAAGGCGUCUAAGAGAUACCGGCAGUCUUGGAACUGGGAGAGGUAAACCGUACUUCGGGGGUAGGAGUGAAAUCUUGUAAUCCUCGAGGGACGACCUAUGGCGAAGGCAGUUUACCAGAACAGCUUCGACAGUGAGGGACGAAAGCUGGGGGAGCAAACGGGAUUAGAUACCCCGGUAGUCCCAGCCGUAAACAAUGUGCGUUAGGUGUGUCGGUAACCACGUGUUACUGAUGCGCCGAAGAGAAAUCGUGAAACGCACCACCUGGGAAGUACGGUCGCAAGGCUGAAACUUAAAGGAAUUGGCGGGGGAGCACCACAACAGGUGGAGCCUGCGGUUUAAUUGGAGUCAACGCCGGG